CCUACGGGGGGCAGCAGUGGGGAAUAUUGCACAAUGGGCGCAAGCCUGAUGCAGCCAUGCCGCGUGUGUGAAGAAGGCCUUCGGGUUGUAAAGCACUUUCAGCGGGGAGGAAGGCGUUAAGGUUAAUAACCUUGGCGAUUGACGUUACCCGCAGAAGAAGCACCGGCUAACUCCGUGCCAGCAGCCGCGGUAAUACGGAGGGUGCAAGCGUUAAUCGGAAUUACUGGGCGUAAAGCGCACGCAGGCGGUCUGUCAAGUCGGAUGGGAAAUCCCCGGGCUCAACCUGGGAACUGCAUUCGAAACUGGCAGGCUAGAGUCUUGUAGAGGGGGGUAGAAUUCCAGGUGUAGCGGUGAAAUGCGUAGAGAUCUGGAGGAAUACCGGUGGCGAAGGCGGCCCCCUAGACAAAGACUGACGCUCAGGUGCGAAAGCGUGGGGAGCAAACAGGAUUAGAUACCCCUGUAGUC
rnacentral:rRNA from 1 species